GACAGAGGAUGCAAGCGUUAUCCGGAAUGAUUGGGCGUAAAGCGUCUGUAGGUGGCUUUUUAAGUCCGCCGUCAAAUCCCAGGGCUCAACCCUGGACAGGCGGUGGAAACUACCAAGCUGGAGUACGGUAGGGGCAGAGGGAAUUUCCGGUGGAGCGGUGAAAAUGCGUAGAGAUCGGAAAAGAACACCAACGGCGAAAAGCACUCUGCUGGGGCCGACACUGACAUGAGAGACGAAAAGCUAGGGGGAGC
rnacentral:rRNA from 1 species